UACGUAGGGUGGCAAGCGUUGUCCGGAAUUAUUGGGCGUAAAGAGCUCGUAGGCGGUUUGUUGCGUCGGCUGUGAAAUCCCGAGGCUCAACCUCGGGUCUGCAGUCGAUACGAGCAAACUAGAGUGUUGCAGGGGAGACUGGGAAUUCCUGGUGUAGCGGUGAAAUGACGCAGAUAUCAGGAGGAACACCGGUGGCGAAGGCGGGUCUCUGGGCCGAUACUGACGCUGAGGAGCGAAAGCCGUGGGUAGCAAACAGG
rnacentral:rRNA from 1 species